rnacentral:rRNA from 1 species
UACGUAGGGGGCAAGCGUUGUCCGGAUUUAUUGGGCGUAAAGCGCGUGUAGGCGGUCAUAUAGGUCAGCUGUGAAAACUCGAGGCUCAACUUCGAGACGUCGGUUGAAACCGUAUGGCUAGAGUCCGGAAGAGGAGAGUGGAAUUCCCGGUGUAGCGGUGAAAUGCGCAGAUAUCGGGAAGAACACCUAUGGCGAAGGCAGCUCUCUGGGACGGUACUGACGCUGAGACGCGAAAGCGUGGGGAGCAAACAGG